rnacentral:rRNA from 1 species
UACGGAAGGCAGCAGUGGGGAAUAUUGCACAAUGGGCGAAAGCCUGAUGCAGCUAUGCCGCGUGUAUGAAGAAGGCCUUAGGGUUGUAAAGUACUUUCAUCGGGGAGGAAAAAACAAAACUAAUAAUUUUAUUUCUUGACGUUACCCGAAAAAGAAGCACCGGCUAACUCCGUGCCAGCAGCCGCGGUAAUACGGAGGGUGCUAGCGUUAAUCAGAAUUACUGGGCGUAAAGAGCACGUAGGUGGUUUUUUAAGUCAGAUGUGAAAUCCCUGGGCUUAACCUAGGAAACUGCAUUUUGAAACUGAAAUACUAGAAGUAUCGUAGAGGGAGGUAGAAUUCUAGGUGUAGCGGUGAAAUGCGUAGAUAUCUGGAGGAAUACCUGUGGCGAAAGCGGCCUCCUAAACGAAUACUGACACUGAGGUGCGAAAGCGUGGGGAGCAAAACAGGGAUUAGAUACC